UACGUAGGGUGCAAGCGUUUAAUCGGAUUUACUGGGCGUAAAGCGCGCGUAGGUGGUUUGUUAAGUUGGAUGUGAAAUCCCCGGGCUCAACCUGGGAACUGCAUUCAAAACUGACAAGCUAGAGUAUGGUAGAGGGUGGUGGAAUUUCCUGUGUAGCGGUGAAAUGCGUAGAUAUAGGAAGGAACACCAGUGGCGAAGGCGACCACCUGGACUGGUACUGACGCUGAUGCGCGAAAGCGUGGGGAGCAAACAGG
rnacentral:rRNA from 1 species